rfam:Streptomyces albulus strain NK660, complete genome.
GGGGAUGAUCGGUUUCGACAGCGGAUGUCGAAGCAGGGGAAGCGAGUCGAGGAAGCGGCAAUGAUCUCGUUAACCAUAUGCCGAAACCAAUAAUCGCCAACACCAAGCGCGAUUCCUUCGCCCUCGCUGCCUAAGUAGCGACCUGCGAAGUGUCAGCCCGGGGCCGUUCCCGUCCCGGAUCCUGGCAUCAGCUAGGGGACUUCACUUCUGAGCCCGGUCACGGGGUCCAGAAGGACAUUUAACAGUGACUGAGCCCGUCGGAGACUUGUCCGCGUGAUCUCCGGGGCUGAGAAAAUCGAAGCGGACUGCACUCGGAGAAGCCCUGAUUCUGCACCGUUGGACGCGGGUUCGAUUCCCGCCAUCUCCACAA